ACGGGGCUAAACCAUGCACCGAAGCUGCGGCAGCGACACUGUGUGUUGUUGGGUAGGGGAGCGUUCUGUAAGCCUGUGAAGGUGUGUCGUGAGGCAUGCUGGAGGUAUCAGAAGUGCGAAUGCUGACAUAAGUAACGAUAAAGCGGGUGAAAAGCCCGCUCGCCGGAAGACCAAGGGUUCCUGUCCAACGUUAAUCGGGGCAGGGUGAGUCGACCCCUAAGGCGAGGCCGAAAGGCGUAGUCGAUGGGAAACGGGUUAAUAUUCCCGUACUUGGUGUUACUGCGAAGGGGGGACGGAGAAGGCUAUGUUGGCCGGGCGACGGUUGUCCCGGUUUAAGCGUGUAGGUGUGUGUUCCAGGUAAAUCCGGUUCACUUUAACACUGAGGCGUGACGACGAGGCACUACGGUGCUGAAGCAACAAAUGCCCUGCUUCCAGGAAAAGCCUCUAAGCAUCAGGUAACAUCAAAUCGUACCCCAAACCGACACAGGUGGUCAGGUAGAGAAUACCAAGGCGCUUGAGAGAACUCGGGUGAAGGAACUAGGCAAAAUGGUGCCGUAACUUCGGGAGAAGGCACGCUGACACGUAGGUGAAGUGAUUUACUCAUGGAGCUGAAGUCAGUCGAAGAUACCAGCUGGCUGCAACUGUUUAUUAAAAACACAGCACUGUGCAAACACGAAAGUGGACGUAUACGGUGUGACGCCUGCCCGGUGCCGGAAGGUUAAUUGAUGGGGUCAGCGCAAGCGAAGCUCCUGAUCGAAGCCCCGGUAAACGGCGGCCGUAACUAUAACGGUCCUAAGGUAGCGAAAUUCCUUGUCGGGUAAGUUCCGACCUGCACGAAUGGCGUAAUGAUGGCCAGGCUGUCUCCACCCGAGACUCAGUGAAAUUGAACUCGCUGUGAAGAUGCAGUGUACCCGCGGCAAGACGGAAAGACCCCGUGAACCUUUACUAUAGCUUGACACUGAACAUUGAGCCUUGAUGUGUAGGAUAGGUGGGAGGCUUUGAAGUGUGGACGCCAGUCUGCAUGGAGCCGACCUUGAAAUACCACCCUUUAAUGUUUGAUGUUCUAACGUGGACCCGUUACCCGGGUUGCGGACAGUGUCUGGUGGGUAGUUUGACUGGGGCGGUCUCCUCCUAAAGAGUAACGGAGGAGCACGAAGGUUGGCUAAUCCUGGUCGGACAUCAGGAGGUUAGUGCAAUGGCAUAAGCCAGCUUGACUGCGAGCGUGACGGCGCGAGCAGGUGCGAAAGCAGGUCAUAGUGAUCCGGUGGUUCUGAAUGGAAGGGCCAUCGCUCAACGGAUAAAAGGUACUCCGGGGAUAACAGGCUGAUACCGCCCAAGAGUUCAUAUCGACGGCGGUGUUUGGCACCUCGAUGUCGGCUCAUCACAUCCUGGGGCUGAAGUAGGUCCCAAGGGUAUGGCUGUUCGCCAUUUAAAGUGGUACGCGAGCUGGGUUUAGAACGUCGUGAGACAGUUCGGUCCCUAUCUGCCGUGGGCGCUGGAGAACUGAGGGGGGCUGCUCCUAGUACGAGAGGACCGGAGUGGACGCAUCACUGGUGUUCGGGUUGUCAUGCCAAUGGCACUGCCCGGUAGCUAAAUGCGGAAGAGAUAAGUGCUGAAAGCAUCUAAGCACGAAACUUGCCCCGAGAUGAGUUCUCCCUGAGACUUAGAGUCUCCUGAAGGAACGUUGAAGACGACGACGUUGAUAGGCCGGGUGUGUAAGCGCAGCGAUGCGUUGAGCUAACCGGUACUAAUGAACCGUGAGGCUUAACCUUACAACGCCGAAG
rnacentral:rRNA from 1 species